rnacentral:rRNA from 1 species
CACGUAGGGGGGCAAGCGUUUGUCCGGAAUUAUUGGGCGUAAAGAGCUCGUAGGCGGUUGGGUAAGUCGGGUGUGAAAACUCCAGGCUCAACUUGGAGAUGCCACCCGAUACUGCUCUGACUUGAGUUCGGUAGGGGAGUGGGGAAUUCCUGGUGUAGCGGUGAAAUGCGCAGAUAUCAGGAGGAACACCGGUGGCGAAGGCGCCACUCUGGGCCGAAACUGACGCUGAGGAGCGAAAGCGUGGGUAGCAAACAGG